rnacentral:rRNA from 1 species
CAGGAGAGCUUGCUCUCUGGGUGGCGAGUGGCGGACGGGUGAGGAAUACAUCGGAAUCUACUUUUUCGUGGGGGAUAACGUAGGGAAACUUACGCUAAUACCGCAUACGACCUACGGGUGAAAGCAGGGGAUCUUCGGACCUUGCGCGAUUGAAUGAGCCGAUGUCGGAUUAGCUAGUUGGCGGGGUAAAGGCCCACCAAGGCGACGAUCCGUAGCUGGUCUGAGAGGAUGAUCAGCCACACUGGAACUGAGACACGGUCCAGACUCCUACGGGAGGCAGCAGUGGGGAAUAUUGGACAAUGGGCGCAAGCCUGAUCCAGCCAUACCGCGUGGGUGAAGAAGGCCUUCGGGUUGUAAAGCCCUUUUGUUGGGAAAGAAAUCCAGCUGGCUAAUACCCGGUUGGGAUGACGGUACCCAAAGAAUAAGCACCGGCUAACUUCGUGCCAGCAGCCGCGGUAAUACGAAGGGUGCAAGCGUUACUCGGAAUUACUGGGCGUAAAGCGUGCGUAGGUGGUCGUUUAAGUCCGUUGUGAAAGCCCUGGGCUCAACCUGGGAACUGCAGUGGAUACUGGACGACUAGAGUGUGGUAGAGGGUAGCGGAAUUCCUGGUGUAGCAGUGAAAUGCGUAGAGAUCAGGGGGAACAUCCAUGGCGAAGGCAGCUACCUGGACCAACACUGACACUGAGGCACGAAAGCGUGGGGAGCAAACAGGAUUAGAUANCCUGGUAGUCCACGCCCUAAACGAUGCGAACCGGAUGUUGGGUGCAAUUU